GAAGCAGCUUGCUGCUUCGCUGACGAGUGGCGGACGGGUGAGUAAUGUCUGGGAAACUGCCUGAUGGAGGGGGAUAACUACUGGAAACGGUAGCUAAUACCGCAUAACGUCGCAAGACCAAAGAGGGGGACCUUCGGGCCUCUUGCCAUCGGAUGUGCCCAGAUGGGAUUAGCUAGUAGGUGGGGUAACGGCUCACCUAGGCGACGAUCCCUAGCUGGUCUGAGAGGAUGACCAGCCACACUGGAACUGAGACACGGUCCAGACUCCUACGGGAGGCAGCAGUGGGGAAUAUUGCACAAUGGGCGCAAGCCUGAUGCAGCCAUGCCGCGUGUAUGAAGAAGGCCUUCGGGUUGUAAAGUACUUUCAGCGGGGAGGAAGGCGAUAAGGUUAAUAACCUUGUCGAUUGACGUUACCCGCAGAAGAAGCACCGGCUAACUCCGUGCCAGCAGCCGCGGUAAUACGGAGGGUGCAAGCGUUAAUCGGAAUUACUGGGCGUAAAGCGCACGCAGGCGGUCUGUCAAGUCGGAUGUGAAAUCCCCGGGCUCAACCUGGGAACUGCAUUCGAAACUGGCAGGCUAGA
rnacentral:rRNA from 1 species